rnacentral:lncRNA from 1 species
GCGGGAGGGACAAUGAUCGGGAUAGAAACCCAGGCAUUCAAGCCGGAAUGGCUACCCUCUUUGGGUCCCCUCCCUUUGUAUGGGAGCUCUGUUUUCACUCUAUUCAAUCUUGCAACUGCACUCUUCUGGUCCGUGUUUGUUACAGCUUGAGCUGAGCUUUCGCUCGCCUUCCACCACUGCUGUUUGCCGCCAUCGCAGACCUGCCGUGCUGACUUCCAUCCCUCUAGAUCUGGCAGGGUGUCCGCUGUGCUCUUGAUCCAGCGAGGCGCCCAUUGCCGCUCCCGAUUGGGCUAAAGGCUUGCAAUUGUUCCUGCACGCUAAGUGCCUGGGUUCAUCCUCAUCAAGCUGGGUUCCACGGUUCUCUUCAUGACCCGCAGCUUCUAACAGAGCUAUAAAACUCUGUGCAUGGCCCAAGAUUCCAUUCCUUGGAAUCUGUGAGGCCAAGAACCCCAGGUCAGAGAACAGGAGGCUUGCCACCAUCUUGGAAGUGGCUCGCCACCAUCUUAGGAGCUCUGUGAGCGGAGACCCCCACCCCCCGGUAACAUUUUGGCGACCACGAAGGGACCUCCAAAGCGAGCUAGGGAGAUACCUGUGCCAACUCUGGCUUUGUUUGCUCUGCCAGACAAUCCUGAUGCUGCAAAGUCAAAUCAUCGUGAAGGAAGUUUGUGCAAAUGUGGGAAACAGGACUAUAAUCCUGCUUGAAGUUUGCUUAGAUUCCUGGGAAGUCUCCCUAUUCCAACCCUUUUUGAGAAAUGCCCACAGCUCAUAACCUACCUGAGGUUAUUUGGGUCUCAGGAAACACACAGCAUGUGCCAAUGUUCCAAGAAUGAAGCUCUGGUUCCCAGCUUCUGCUGCUCCAACUUCUAUAGCAGCAAGGAGAAAAGAGUAACAGACAUACUGAUCACAUCUAAUUAGAAGGAGGUUGUGUUCUGCUAAAGUCAAGAAGAAAACCAAGAAACAGGAAACCAUGAGAUGUAGCAGAAGAGGGAGGCAAAGUAAAAUCCUAGGAAGAUGCAACAAAAGUAUCAAGACCACAGCAAGCCUAGAUCAACCAGUCCAAGUCUGAAGGCCUGAGGACCAGGAGCACUGAUGAUACUGAGAAAACGUGGUCCUUUUGUCGGUAAAAGAGUUUGGUAUAACAACAUCAAUGCAUGCGGGAAUUGUUCCUUUCUGCCUAAAGUACAGUUUUGGGCUUCUCUGAAGACAUGUCAUUUUACCCAAGACCUGAAAGAUGAGGAUGGUCAAGCCCUAUCACAAAACAAGUGAAGAUGUCCAGGCAAGUAUUCCAAAAUGAAUAAAGAACCUAGAGUGAACAUCAUACAUUCAGGAUCCUCCUCAAGAAAGAAAAUAUGACUGAAACCAUUGAUGGCCUCAACAUAUUCUUCUACAAUUGAUUUGUUCAUUAUCUUUUAAUGGACAUUUUGCUCUGAGUGAGAAAGAGAGAGAGGCCGGGAGGGGGGAAGGGCACAGAAUUGUAUAGGGUAUGCACAUUUACAAUUUUAUUUGAUUCACCAACUUGCUCUCAAACAGGGUUGAACCAAUUGUUGCUCUCAAGCAUGCAUAAGAUAUUCUGUUACUCUUUGCAAUCAGCCACAUUUACAGUAGUGUAUAGUAGUGCAUGUGCCGGUGUAGUGUGUGUGUGAGCGCAUGGGAGCGAGCGAGCGAGCGAGAGAGACAGAGAGAGAGAGGGAGGGGGGAGAAGUAGAGAGAGAGAGUUUUAAUUUGGCCAUUUUUAUGGAGAGAGAGAGAGAGGGAGGGAGGGAGAGGGGAGAAGUAGAGAGAGAAUUUUAAUUGGGCCAAGUUUAUGGAGGUAUGAAAUGAUUAUUUUUUUCUUAUGGUUUUUAGUUACAUGUCUCUUAUUACUGCUGAAGUUAGCACACUUUCAGAUAAACAUGCAGAAACACACCCACCAUUUGGAUGUCUUCCCUAGGAAUUGCCUGUACAUAAACCUUGACCUCUCUGCUUGGAUAGCUGACUUUUUAUCUUGUUGAUUCAUAGGAGUUAUUUACAUACUUUGGAUAAGAAUUCUUGCAGAUUAUGUUAUUUUUCCCAGAGCUUGGUUUUUUAUUUUCACAUACAUACUGCCUGUUUUAAUGAGAAGAAAUUUUAAAAGUAUCUACUUUUUAUCCUUAUCUUUCCUGUUUUAGCUAUUUAUAUCUUGUUUAAUAAACAUUUCUUUUCCCUGAGGCAACAGAGACAUUCAGACACAUUUAAAAAUUUUUACAUUUUCAGUAUUCACUUUUAGGUCCAACGUACCUUGAAUUCAUUUGUGUGUGUGUGUGUGUGUGUGUGUGUGUGUAUCCUGUAGGUAUGGAUCUAACUUAAUUUAUCACAGGAAUAACUGUCCCAGCUCCAUUUAAUGGCUACUGUGCCCUUUUCUACUGACCUGGUGCCUCUGUCACAUGUUGAGUUUCCAACUGAUUCAGCACUCUGUAUUUCAGCUCUUCACUGUGUGGCCUUAGAUUUGUCGCCUGUGGAUUACUAUUUAAAUGUUCAUUGUUUUACCUUUAAAUAAAAUUUCUUUUAGAACAGGGUAAUUCCUUCUCUUUUUUGGCUCCUCCUUGCUCCUUCCACUUUCCUUCCCUCCUCCUCACACUUCUCUUUGUCUUAUGAAAUUAUCUUGCCAAUUUUUUGAACGUUUGCCCAUCCAGUCAAGUAACAAAGACUUAGAUACAUUCAUGGAGAAGUGACCUUGUUGAAAAUUGAGAAAUGGCUGCUUUCUCAAUUUCUGCAAGUCUUUAAAAGUGUCUUUCAAGAAUUAUAUAUCAUUUUUACCCUACAACUAAUAAAGAAAUGACAAUUUUAUUAUUAUUAUGGAUCCAGUAUAUCCUUAAUAAUUAUUUUUAGUAUAAAAUCUGUUUUAUUACAUCAAUAUAGUUUGAAUAUUUU